GUCUACGGCCAUACCACCCCGAACAUGCUCCGUCUCAUCUGAUCUCGGAAGCUAAGCAGAGUUGGGCCUGGUUAGUACUUGGAUGGGAGGAUAUCAUCAGUUAACCUGUGGAAA
ensembl:rRNA 5S_rRNA 5S ribosomal RNA